AUUGAACGCUGGCGGCAGGCCUAACACAUGCAAGUCGAACGAGUGGCGGACGGGUGAGUAAUGUCUGGGAAACUGCCUGAUGGAGGGGGAUAACUACUGGAAACGGUAGCUAAUACCGCAUCCCAUCAGCUGUGCCCAGAUGGGAUUAGCUGGUUGGUGGGGUAACGGCUCACCAAGGCGACGAUCCCUAGCUGGGCUGAGAGGAUGACCAGCCACCCUGGAGCUGAGACACGGUCCAGACUCCUACGGUAGGCAGCAGUGGGGAAUAGUGCACAAGGGGGGGAAGCCUGGUGCAACCGUGCCGCGUGUAUGGAGAAGACCUUCGGGUUGGAAAGUACGUUCAGCGGGGAGGCGUUACCCGCAGAAGAAGCACCGGCUAACUCCGUGCCAGCAGCCGCGGUAAUAC
rnacentral:rRNA from 1 species